GUCAUCGAUGUCUUUGCCUUUUCCCCUGCACUUGUGGUCCAUGUGGCUGAAAUUCAUGGUCUCAAAUAUAUAUAGGACAUGGAAGGCCUUUUCUGGUUGUGUACCCUAUUGCACUCCAAGAGCGUAUAUCUUGACACUUGACUUUGGUUGCAAGUUGAGAUUGUUUACUAGCAUUAUAUGGUUUAUUGUCAAUUAAAACUCCUGAAACUAGCAACUACUGCCCUAAAUUCAUGCUGUGUGAUUAGAUUCUCUCAUCAGUGUAUGCUUAUGUUUGGGUCUUUCUUCACCAUAAGUUGGUUUUCAACCAUGUAAAUGGGGACACUGCUCCUGUUCAAUUCAUCAGGCAACAUAAUCAGGAAAACAAGAAAAUUGCUACUCUCAGGUAUUCAGAAAGGUCAUGUAUGUCGAAGCUCAGGAGCCGUGGACGUGGACGGGGGGCAUUUUUUUCUGCUGGUUGGCCCACAUUUGAUAAAGAAGCUUAUGUGCAUGUAGGAGAUGUUGUGUGUUUGAGCUCAUUAAUAGGGAGGAUGUGUGUUCAGAGUCUAUAUUUCCACUAGAGCUGCUCAAGACCUAUCAACACCAUUAUCCAGCAAACAUCUCUGUGGUUGGCUCAUGUUUGUGAGAGAAGCUUAUCUGGAUGAAGGGGAUGUCUGCAUGUAUGAGCUCAUUGAUAUGGAUGAUUUUCUAGUCAAAGUCUCCAUCUCCAAUUAUGCUUGUCAAAACAAACAAAUCUGAAUGUCCAGUGAGUCCUCCUGAGCAGUUUUUCAUGAUUCCAAGUGUCCGAGGCCCCUCACUGCCCUUGAGAAAGCUAGAGAAUUCAAAUCAGAGUAUCCAUUUUUCCAGACAGUGAUGUGGCCAUAUUUUCUUAAGAAAGAAGUGGCGGCCUAGGCUUGGCAUGACUAAGCUCACUGCAACAGCACGGCAACACUAGUCGGAUAUUGCUCCCUAGCAACAAAUGGUUUACAAGAGCUACUAUAGCAAACGGGUUCAAAGUUGCAAUCGGAAAGGAAGGGAAGGUAGUGCGGCCUAGACCUAAAAAAUUAGUGCCACCAACUCGAUGGUAUAAAAAGAAGAAAAGAAGAUCACUUCUUUUUGGCCGGGCAGAAGAACACUUACUUUUUGUGUAUCUGUGUCCAUUUAGGACCCUGUGUGUAGCUUUUCAUGUUUUUAUUCGAUGCAUAUUGCAAUGCAAGAUUGGUGACUCAUUCACCAGAUUCAGCAUGUCUCUAUAUUGAUUACAUGUACUUAAUGUAGAGUCUGAGAGCACAGGAUUGUGAUAUUUUGAUUUCAUAUUGCAAAUUGUGAUUAAA